GUGGGGAAUUUUGGACAAUGGGGGAAACCCUGAUCCAGCGACGCCGCGUGAAGGAUGAAGGCCUUCGGGUUGUAAACUUCUUUUGGAGGGGACGAAUAAAUUGACGGUACCCUCAGAAAAAGCCACGGCUAACUACGUGCCAGCAGCCGCGGAAAUACGUAGGUGGCGAGCGUUACUCGGAAUUACUAGGCGUAAAGCGUAUGUAGGCGGUUGUAUAAGUCUAUCGUGAAAUUUCCUGGCUCACAUGGGAAGGGACAUAGAUACUGUAUGGCUUGAGUGUUAGGAGGGGAGACGGAAGUCCUGGUGUAGCGGUGAAAUGCGUAGAUAUCAGGAGGAACACCGAUGGCGAAAGCAGUCUCCUGGCCAAAUACUGACGCUGAGGUACGAAAGCUAGGGUAGCAAACAGGAUUAGAAACCCCUGUAGUCC
rnacentral:rRNA from 1 species